UGUCCUCAGUGUGUUAGUGAGGAUAGGCUAUCACUGGUUAGCUGUCUAAUCAUUGGGAGUGACUAGUGUGCAGAGCUCGGCAACAUUAUGGAAUACUAAAUGAUAUCAAGUGAUUGUUUUUAGUCUUAAAUUUACUCUCUUCUCCUCCUCCUCCUCCUCCUCUCUGUCUAUCUUCAUCCCUUCCUUCCUUUUAAUAAAUAAGUUAUCUUUUGCUUAAUUAACGUUUAUAAAUCUUUAUGGUGGUCAAAUCUUGCAUCUCAUUUCCCUGUCGUCCAUUCUCUCUCCUCCUCCUCCUCCUCCUCCUCCUCCUGCUCAUAAUCCAAUUCCUUCUAUUCUCCUUUAUUCCUUUUUCACUUUCCCUCCUUCCCUUUUCCAUUCCCCUUCCCCGACUUUCCUCCAUUCUUUCCUCCUCUAUUCUUCCUUCAUCUCCUUCUCCUUUUUCUCCUUUCACUCCUCCUCCUCUCUGUCUAUCUUCAUCCCUUCCUUCCUUUUAAUUAAUGUCUAAGUUAUCCUUUGAGUGACGUUCUUUCUGGCGGUCAAAUCUUGCAUCCUAUUUCCUAUCGUCCAUUCUCUCUCUUCCUCCUUCUCCUCCUCCUCUGUCUAUCUUCAUCCCUUCCUUCCUUUUAAUUAAUGUCUAAGUUAUCUAUCGGUUCCUUCCAGUGUGUUUGUGGUGCCCGGCUCUGCUUGCUAGUUUGUUUUGUCACUGUAUAAUUGUCAGUCCUAGUUUGUUUUGCCACUGUAUAAUUGUCAGUCCUAGUUUGCUUUGUCCUUGUAUAAUUGUCCGUCCCAGCCAGGCGCCUCUUCCAUGUAAAGAUCUCGGCAGCUUCAAGCCUUGCCGAUAUCUCAAUCCGUACGUGAAUGUAAAUUAACCGAAAUCCUUGUUACUAAGCCCUGCACGGUGCUCUCUCACAUAAUGCUUCUUUAAAUUUUCAGUCUCACUUAAUUUCCGGGGUCAGUAAUAUAUUUUGCCAUAAGUUAACUCCCCGUGAUGGCCAGUUUCAUGCACUAUAUAUAAGUAAUUUGCCUUUUGCAUGGCUAUAAUUCUGCAUCUGUGUCUAAGGCCCAGUUUCACAGUUCCUCAUGGUGGGUUAGUAAGCUCCAAAACCAAUACCAGAGCCUUCGAAAUUUCCUUGUACAGUGUCUGGAGUUUAUAUUCAAGUUCACAAAUUUGACGAGACUAUACAGGAAAGGUCUUGUGUGUUUAUGCUACGAAGGAAAGGGAGGAGAAGGGAGAUGAGAUUGGGAGACGAGUGAGCCGAGAUCCUGUUUAUAUUCAAGUUCACAAGUUUGAUGAGACUAUACAGGAAAGGUCUUGUGUGUUUAUGCUACGAAGGAAAGGGAGGAGAAGGGAGAUGAGAUUGGGAGACGAGUGAGCCGAGAUCCUGUUUAUAUUCAAGUUCACAAAUUUGACAAGACUAUACAGGAAAGGUCUUAUAUUGUCAUGAUACGAAGGAAAGGGAGGAGAAGGGAGAUGAGAUUAGGAGACGAGUGAGCCGAGAUCCUGUUUAUAUUCAAGUUCACAAAUUUGACAAGACUAUACAGGAAAGGUCUUAUAUUGUCAUGAUACGAAGGAAAGGGAGGAGAAGGGAGAUGAGAUUGGGAGACGAGUGAGCCGAGAUCCUGUUUAUAUUCAAGUUCACAAGUUUGAUGAGACUAUACAGGAAAGGUCUUGUGUGUUUAUGCUACGAAGGAAAGGGAGGAGAAGGGAGAUGAGAUUAGGAGACGAGUGAGCCGAGAUCCUGUUUAUAUUCAAGUUCACAAAUUUGACGAGACUAUACAGGAAAGGUCUUGUGUGUUUAUGCUACGAAGGAAAGGGAGGAGAAGGGAGAUGAGAUUAGGAGACGAGUGAGCCGAGAUUCUGUUUAUAUUCAAGUCCACAAAUUUGACAAGACUAUACAGGAAAAGCUCUCUGUUUAUGAUAUGAAGGAAAGGGAAGAGAAGGGAGAUGAGUAAGCUGAGAUUCUGUUUAUAUUCAAGUUCACAAAUUUGACAAGACUAUACAGGAAAAGCUCUGUUUAUGAUAUGAAGGAAAGGGAAGAGAAGGGAGAUGAGUAAGCUGAGAUUCUGUUUAUAUUCAAGUUCACAAAUUUGACAAGACUAUACAGGAAAAGCUCUGUUUAUGAUAUGAAGGAAAGGGAAGAGAAGGGAGACGAGUGAGCCGAGAUCCUGUAUAUAUUCAAGUUCACAAAUUUGACAAGACUAUACAGGAAAAGCUGUGUUUAUGAUAUGAAGGAAAGGGAAGAGAAGGGAGAUGAGUAAGCUGAGAUCCUGUUUAUAUUCAAGUCCACAAAUUUGACGACACAAUACAGGAAAAGCUCUUUGUAUUUAGUGUGUCAUCGAAGACCGCGCCAUUUUGAACAGUAUGGGAUUCUAUAGCUUGGUUCAGGAGUGUUACAAAGAUUGUGUUGGACUGUGAAAGCGGCCCUUAAUGUUCCCUUUUCUAAUAUGCCUCUCUGUUUUUGCAGGAUGCCGCGGACGGACCAUGCAGAGGACUCAUCGCGACGACACCAACGGUUUGGUUAAGUGGGUUCUCUUGUGUGUGCGUCUGUGUGUGAAUGGCAGGCCUGUCGUAUGAUUGUGUGUGUGUGUGCGUUGGCGUUAUGCCUUCGCACUAUUAUUUUGUUAGGAUGUAUUUUUGUGUGUGAACUUUUUGCACGUAAUCUUUUUUUAUACCCAUAGCUAGCGUUUGUUUGUGUGGCAGUGUUCCGGGAGAUGGACGCCGGGGGACAUGGGCUUGGGGAGGCGCACAUGACCUCCUCUGUCCGUGAUCUCUUCAGCUGGGGAGACCGCGUGUUGCCCCGCCUGGAGAGACACGUUGAUGGAGGUGGCCGUGUGUGUCACCCUUUGCCUGUAUCCUCUGGCGCCCAGAGGCGCGUAAGUGGAGAGCAUCGGCGCAGCGCGGGAGCAUCACGUCAGGGUGUAGGGUGUUUGUUUAGCUGGUGUAGGGUGUUAGGGUGUUAGGGUGUUAGGUGUAACAACGGUUGGCUCUUUCACAGAACGGGUGUGAUUCCGUUCUGCGUUUGAGUCUUCCACCUUCAGACGGUCUCCCUCCGAGAUGUCUGAAGUUUUUUUGUCGGUUUUCUCCGUAGGAGGAAGCCGACUCCAGCUACUCUGGCCUCUCUUCCGGGGGUCAGGGCGGUCGGGCUCUGCUUGGCCAGGCGUUGCCUUUCGCGUUGUCUCCGCCGACGUUUUGCCAGACUCUUCCGUAAGGUUGAGCCUGGCUUUUUUAUUAGGUGGAUCAGGCUGCCUUCUUCCAAGGAGUCUGAUGGGAGUGGAGUCUUUUUUUUGGUGUAUGUCUGUGGGUACUUAGUGGGUAAGGGAGGGUGGGGUAGAAUGGUUGGU